GUCGACAUACAAGCAUAUCUGUAUGUUGGAGAGGGUCGAGUACAAACACCGCCAGUAGGACACAAGUUUACAUUGGGCAAGGUGGAUAUUUGGUUAGUUAACCCGCUGGUGAAAUUCACCAACAGCAAGGCAUGUAAAACCGGCUAUGGAUAUACUGAUGCCGGUCAAUAUGUGAAGGUCGAGUGCAAAGACUAUAGACCGGACCUCCUCGCCAGUCGAGUUCUGUUCAAAAAUACUUUAAGAGGACAGCCGAUGUUAAUCUGUGAGGUAGAAGUUUACGGAGUAUUCGGUUACUUUGUAUAACGCUUUUGUUGUGAAGAUAUUCAUAGAAAUAUUUAAGAAAGAAUAAAGUUCUAAAGUAUU